CUAUCCCAGACCCUCAAAUGUUAAGGGACCCAAAUCUUCACUCUCUAAAUUCAGUCUCUUAUUGCUACUCUCCUCAGCACUGAGUUCUGUCCAUAACACAACUUAAAGAGUAAGAGUCAUGGACUUCAUGUGAGGAAAUAAUGGAGGAUUUCAGAAUUUAGAAUUUUGCAAGUGAAAAUACUCCUCCCUGGUCAUAUGGUCUUGCUGUGUACACACACCAGAGGUGCUUCUGAUCUGUUAUUCAAAUGAAUUCUCAAUGAAAAAAUAUGCAUGUGUAGCGAAGAGGAGAAAAAAUACCAUAAAUGCUCCUAUACUGGAACAGAAAAAUAUGGAGUCAUAGAAUGAUGACAAAAAUAGAUUAAUUUUUUUAUGUAGUGCACUGCGGUUAAUCCUUGUGCUCACAGUAUACUUUAUUUAGAACCACUGCAGAAUUCGUCCUCUGAUUUUUCUCCCUGAAAUUAGACUGUAGUGAUAUGCUUCAGACUUCAGAGGAGCCUAAAGGACUGUGGAGAUGAGCAGCUGCAUGGUACCUAAUGUGUCUGGGGUGAAACCACAACAGAACUAUGAAUAAUUCACCCUCAAGCUGCCAGCCAGAUCCACCUGAGCCACUUCAACCCUAGCAGCCUGAUCCACCUUCUGGAUCUUGUUUUGUUCUCCAGUAUCCUGGGUUAACCCACAACAAUGCUAUCCAGGUACAAGAAGAAGAUGUAUUAUCAUGCAACCAAGCCACUGACUAUAACAACUACUAAAUAAUAGAAAAGAGAAAGAGAUCCUGUGUCAAGUACUGUUUACCUGAGAAGUGCACUUACUGAGAUCUUAAAACAGUAUGUCCUGAGUUACCACAUCAGUCAGAAGUGUACCUUCCUUUUUCUGUACUGGCAUCUCUAAGUGACAAAAUCUAGUAUUUGGACACAUGGUGAGUUCCCUGCAGGAAAGCCACUGAGCAGAACACAUACAACUCAAGUGGAAGAUUGCUGUGCUCCAGUUUUCUGUCACCUCUACACAUUGGAUGCAGGAUUCCCUCUGUGUGUACCACAGGCACCUUCCAACCCCACUUCACACUCUUUUCAUCCACCUUCUGGCUACCGCAGAAAUGCAUGAAACCUGUAUCCAAAAAUCAUGCCAUUGUGAUGACUUCUGGAUUCCAAGAUAAGCACAUACAACUUUCCUGAACUUGGUACCUUUUGGUUAUUUUCAAGGUAAAGAUCAUACAGAUAUAUAUCCUAGAGGAAUUAUUUUCCAAGCACAAUCACA